rnacentral:rRNA from 1 species
GACGAACGCUGGCGGCGUGCUUAACACAUGCAAGUCGAACGGUAAGGCUCCAGCUUGCUGGGGUACACGAGUGGCGAACGGGUGAGUAACACGUGGGUGACCUGCCCUGCACUUCGGGAUAAGCCUGGGAAACUGGGUCUAAUACCGGAUAGGACCGCACCGUGAGGGUGUGGUGGAAAGUUUUUUCGGUGUGGGAUGGGCCCGCGGCCUAUCAGCUUGUUGGUGGGGUAAUGGCCUACCAAGGCGGCGACGGGUAGCCGGCCUGAGAGGGUGGACGGCCACAUUGGGACUGAGACACGGCCCAGACUCCUACGGGAGGCAGCAGUGGGGAAUAUUGCACAAUGGGCGGAAGCCUGAUGCAGCGACGCCGCGUGGGGGAUGACGGCCUUCGGGUUGUAAACUCCUUUCACCAUCGACGAAGGGUUUCUGACGGUAGAUGGAGAAGAAGCACCGGCUAACUACGUGCCAGCAGCCGCGGUAAUACGUAGGGUGCGAGCGUUGUCCGGAAUUACUGGGCGUAAAGAGCUCGUAGGUGGUUUGUCGCGUCGUCUGUGAAAUUCCGGGGCUUAACUCCGGGCGUGCAGGCGAUACGGGCAUAACUUGAGUACUGUAGGGGAGACUGAAAUUCCUGGUGUAGCGGUGAAAUGCGCAGAUAUCAGGAGGAACACCGGUGGCGAAGGCGGGUCUCUGGGCAGUAACUGACGCUGAGGAGCGAAAGCAUGGGGAGCGAACAGGAUUAGAUACCCUGGUAGUCCAUGCCGUAAACGGUGGGCGCUAGGUGUGGGUUUCCUUCCACGGGAUCCGUGCCGUAGCUAACGUAUUAAGCGCCCCGCCUGGGGAGUACGGCCGCAAGGCUAAAACUCAAAGGAAUUGACGGGGGCCCGCACAAGCGGCGGAGCAUGUGGAUUAAUUCGAUGCAACGCGAAGAACCUUACCUGGGCUUGACAUAUACAGGAUCGCGCCAGAGAUGGUGUUUCCCUUGUGGCUUGUAUACAGGUGGUGCAUGGUUGUCGUCAGCUCGUGUCGUGAGAUGUUGGGUUAAGUCCCGCAACGAGCGCAACCCUUGUCUUAUGUUGCCAGCACGUUGUGGUGGGGACUCGUAAGAAACUGCCGGGGUUAACUCGGAGGAAGGUGGGGAUGACGUCAAAUCAUCAUGCCCCUUAUGUCCAGGGCUUCACACAUGCUACAAUGGUCGGUACAGUGGGUUGCCAGUCCGUGAGGGCGAGCUAAUCCCGCAAAGCCGGUCUCAGUUCGGAUCGGGGUCUGCAACUCGACCCCGUGAAGUCGGAGUCGCUAGUAAUCGCAGAUCAGCAACGCUGCGGUGAAUACGUUCCCGGGCCU